rnacentral:rRNA from 1 species
AUACCAGCACCCCGAGUGGUCGGGACGAUUAUUGGGCCUAAAGCAUCCGUAGCCGGUACUGCAAGUCUUCCGUUAAAUCCACCUGCUCAACAGUUGGGCUGCGGGGGAUACUACAGCGCUAGGAGGCGGGAGAGGCAAGCGGUACUUAAUGGGUAGGGGUAAAAUCCACUGAUCCAUUGAAGACCACCAGUGGCGAAGGCGGCUUGCCAGAACGCGCUCGACGGUGAGGGAGGAAAGCUGGGGGAGCAAACCGGAUUAGAUACCCGGGUAGUCCCAGCUGUAAACGAUGCAGACUCGGUGAUGGGCUGGCCUUGUGCCAACCCAGUGCCGCAGGGAAGCCGUUAAGUCUGCCGCCUGGGGAGUACGGUCGCAAGACUGAAACUUAAAUGAAUUGGCGGGG